AGUACACGCCACCUAAUAAUGUUCACGGCGCAUAGCGUGUGUGUUUACAGUCUGGGUUGAGCUGCAGUGUCCGCGGCACAGAGAAAAGGAUGAGACAUUUGUGUGACAGGAAGAUAAAAAUAAAUGUGCCCGCAGGAGGAUACAGUAUGGCAUCUGAGCAGAUGAUCAUGAACUUCAUCCAGUUACAUCAGCCAAUACAGACCAUUCACACAGUCCAGUCACUCAGCCCUAUCCAGAAGCUCUCAAGGUCCUACACUACUUCCUCAUGACUCUCACUCACUCAGAUGGUAUGUAGGCUGUUGAUGGCACCUACAGGCCUGUUUGAGGGACAGCUGGACAGAACAUAUCAGAAUUCUUGGACCUCAGCUGAGACCCUCCUCUCCUUCCCUUGUCUUUCAACGAAAGCCCCUUUACACUUCCUGUUUGGCAUGAUGCUCUCAAGGCGUGUCUCUUUCUCAUGUUGGGUGGUAUUACCUAUAGAUGACUCCUAGACACUAACAUAGUUUAAUGUCAACAUCAUGCUAUUUACUUGUUACCUGUGUGUUAUUAUACUGUGUCCCUUUCACAUAAUUUUAAUGAUCCCUCCACUGCCACAUGCUCUGUCUUUCUCUCCAGAAUACAUUAGGGAAAGUUGCUUUGCUGUUGGCACCAAUCCCAGGCUGCCAGACAUCAACGACUUUAUCCCCCUUAUCCUAAACUUAGCUAACUCUUGUUCAACUGCUCUUUGAUUAAAAUCGGUUCAAUUAAAUGUU